AGGCUGCAAAAAUAUUGGAAAUAUUACUAAUACAAUAUUGUGGGGUUUUAGCUUCUUUUUGUAUAUAAAUGGGAUUUUUAGAUUCUUUUUUGUACAUAUAUUUCUAGCUUAUGCCUUUUCCUCCUAAAACAGUACCAGGCAAGCUGACAUGUGGCAUUAUUGAUACUUUUAGGUAUUUUCAGAGAGCUGCUCCUAUAGUAACCGUGCAGCAUAUUUCAGUACUGUAGGCGAGUGAUCCAAGCUAUUGUUCAGAUAUCAAAACAGCUUACUGCUCAUAUUGCCUAUGAAGUGGUGCACAUGUUCCGGUGGUGUGAGAAUUUCUCCCCUAGCCUCAUAGUAGUUUAUUACUCUAUUUGUUACCCAUCAGCCAACAGAGUAAGUGAAGUUGAUACACAUGGAGGUACCAGGAAAAGCUUUUGAUAUGCGCAUGAACCUCAUUUUUAUCCGCGCUCCCUUCUAAGGAGUCCCCAGUUCAGAACAAAAUGAAGGAAUGAAAAAGCGUGGCCGCUGACUUUCGUAACGCUCAAAGAGUUGUGGUUGGUAACAUCGCAGGAAAGGUUCCAUCGGGAAAUUUAGUUCAUAGUGAAUGUGAUGUUUCACUAUUCUGCUGCUCCCAAGCAUCAGGUGUUCUGCUUAUUCUGUACUCUUUGCCUUUAGAGAUAAGGAGAUUGCGGUAGCUGCAGCUGAAGAGGAGUAAAGGGAUAUUCAAAAACUUGAGUAAGCCAUAUAUUUGAAGGUCUCCACGAAUGAUGAGUCCGCCAUGAGAGAGAGAGGUUUCAUGUUUUGGUCGAACAUGUUGUUUGGGUGUGAGCGCUUCAGGUUUUAUGCAGUGAGGAGUUGGACACUGGAAUUUCAAUUUUGAUUAUGUGAUGACCUGAUGACCUGGUUGGACCCUAGAGACUCAAGUUUACUCUGAUGACAAAUACAAGGGCUAAGGUAGCUUGAGAUUCAGUAUAAGUUUGUACUAAAUUCGAGUCAAUUAAAAAGGAACGGAUGGAGUACAUGACAUUUAAGAUCUUCCAUUGCUAAAGCCUAUUCGAGCCACUUGGUGAGCUCAUUGUUGACAACAAGGCUAUGUAGUAAUUUGAAAACGGAGCCACAUUUUGCAAGUUUUGGUGACUCUUCAGAGUUCUUCAUUGAUCCUGGUGGCACACUGAUAGCCUGAAAUUUAUCCUCUUGGCAAGAACAUGAGCAACCAUCCUUACCUGUCGAAUUCUUGCGGAGCAAUGCUGCCAAGGAGCAUGGAGGAUUACUGGUCAGUGUAAUUGGACUACCUGGGCAUCAAGGCGUCAAGUAUAGAUGUGCAGAGAAAGAGGAAGAGCACAUCCUUGAGCAGUAGUUCAGUGAUGCCUGGUAUGUCUAUUUAUGCUGGGAUAAUAAAGCUUUGUUGUAAGGAAUUUGGACGGUGCUGGUGGAUUUGAAAUGGUGGAAGGAGAAACGAAGCUGAGGCCGUGUGCCCAUGUCAAAAUGUACAACCGAAUAUCGAGGUUUAUUUUCUUUCGUUCUUGGAGGUGCUUUUGCUUUUUCUGUGAAAUACUACUGAACCUGUGUUUCCCCUUUACAACCAAUUCUUAGUAUUGAACUACUUAUUUUGCUAUCUGGUCCAAUGACAUUUUUUUCACUAUUCAUUCGGAGAAGAUAUGCCGUUGGUUGGGGUGACACAACGGCAUGUGUUGCAGCUCGAUAAGUCGGCCCAGCCAGGCCUUCAACUUACCCAUAUGUAGCUUUAGGUUCAAGUUGGGAAUGGACCAAUACUCGUUUCAAUACCAUGAUUACUUUAGUGGCCUUGUUCAAAAAAGAUAGUAGAAAGAUAGUAUCAAGCACCAAGAUACUGCAUCCUGCCACUGUUCGCCGUCUCGCCGCUCCAUGAUUAUUUGACUCAGUUGUGGCAAAUGAAGCAAAUGAGUUUUCCAUGUAUUCUUAUUUGUAGCAAAGUAUAAGGGCAAUAAUUUUUUCAGAUGGCUUAUUAACAUUUGUGAAAUAGUGGAGAUGUUGCUUGUUCCUUCACCAUACCACAUGCUUCAAAGGGUGGAGCAUGUUACCAUCCUCAAUCCAUGAGUGUGCUAAGCAUUCGGUGCGUCAUGCUGAUUCCCUAUGUGUAUGUGACAAGCCGAAAAAUAUGCUAGAAAUGUUGAACCAUUUAAACUUGUCGGAAGCAUGCGCUCCAAGAGCUAUGGAGUUAUGAAGUUUCUCCUUCCCAUGAGUA